AUUUUAAGAGUAUACCGUACGUUUGUCUUCCACACAAAAAGCUUGGAUUACUCCAAAUAAAAUA
rnacentral:tRNA from 1 species